rnacentral:lncRNA from 1 species
UGUAGAGCCUCCUCACUUGGAGAGGAUUGGAUUGGGUGUUGACCCUAGUUACAGUGUAUCCUCACUUGGAGAGGAUAGAUCUAGCUCACAGUCUGCGUUUAGGGUGGUAUAGCCAUCCAAUCCCCACAUGGAGGGGAUUGUCGUCGAGUACUCCGGAGUGUCGUGCGACUAGGACCACUUGGAGGUCCGGACCACAUGGAGGUCCGCAGACGGUCCCAGGCUUGGGUGCACUUGGAGCUCCCUCCCCACUUUGGGAUUAAAAGAUGAGUUAUUGGCGAACCCUAGGGCUUCGCUACAGAUUGGGUAAAAGAACAGUGAAC